rnacentral:sRNA from 1 species
UAAGUAAAAAACAAAUGGAAACUAAAGAUUCUUAAAAACUUCUUUGAAAACUACAUUUUUUGUUUGCUUUUGUGGCUUACCUUCAUCAUCCACAAUCAGAAUCUUUAAUCUUGUCUUUGAUGUAACUCUGGAUAUGGCAACAUAAAGUUGGUUGUGUGAAAAGCAUGGCCU